rnacentral:rRNA from 1 species
CCUACGGGGGGCAGCAGUGAGGAAUAUUGGUCAAUGGACGAGAGUCUGAACCAGCCAAGUCGCGUGAAGGAAGACUGCUCUAUGGUUUGUAAACUUCUUUUAUAGAGGAAUAAGACGAGGCACGUGUGCCUUUUUGCAUGUCCUUUAUGAAUAAGGAUCGGCUAACGCCGUGACAGCAGCCGCGGUAAUACGGAGGAUCCGAGCGUUAUCCGGAUUUAUUGGGUGUAAAGGUAGCGUAGAUGGGUUGUUAAGUCAGUUGUGAAAGUUGGCGGCUCAACCGUAAGAUUGCAAUUGAUACUGGCAAGCUUGAGUGCAGGUGAGGUAGGCGGAAUUCGUGGUGUAGCGGUGAAAUGCGUAGAUA